UACAGAGGUCCCAAGCGUUGUUCGGAUUCACUGGGCGUAAAGGGUGCGUAGGCGGUCGGGUAAGUCUGAUGUGAAAUCUCACAGCUUAACUGUGAAACUGCAUUGGAUACUAUCCGGCUCGAGGAAUGGAGGGGAGACUGGAAUACUUGGUGUAGCAGUGAAAUGCGUAGAUAUCAAGUGGAACACCAGUGGCGAAGGCCAGUCUCUGGACAUUUCCUUACGCUUAGGCCCGAAAGCCAGGGGAGCAAACGGG
rnacentral:rRNA from 1 species